ensembl:lncRNA
AUUUAUUUUAUUUUAUUUAUUUAUUUAUUUAUUUAUUUUUGGUUUUUUGAGACAGGGUUUCUCUGUGUAGCUUUGGAGCCUAUCCUGGCACUCGCUCUGGAGACCAGGAUGGCCGAACUCACAGAAAUCUGCCUGCCUCUGCCUUCCGAGUGCUGGGAUUAAAGGUGUGCACUACCAACGCCCAGCAUAUUUUGUGGAGUUUUGUUGUUGUUUGCUUUUGUUUGUUUUUUUUUGUCUUUUCUUUUGUUGUUUCUCUGUGUAGCUCUGGUAAUGUAAGAGUAAACUAUGGUCAAAGCAUGCUACCUAUGCUCUUCUACUAUUUCACGUCCCUAGCCUUUAGAAAGUGAAUGCUAAUACGUCUCUUUCUGGUAGUAUUGCUUUCAAAUAUCCCAGAGUGAAUGACAGUUUCAUUUUCAGUUGUGGAAAAUUUGGAAAUAAUAGCGUGGUCCAUUGGCUCUUCUAGAUGGAUUUUAGUAAAAAGGGAAUAGAAGUUUAUAACACAUGGUAUUCAGUCUUUUUGCAGUAUUUCUCUAGUAAGAACCUGAAUAUGCUCCCAAAGAUGGACAGACACAACAAAACCUCAUGAGGACUUCUAGCUGACCACAAAUCCUAUCACUUUAUCAUGGUUUAAGGGAACCUGCCUUUCUGAGUUGAAGUCCUUUGGCCAAGUAUUUGACCCUGCUCAACUGGAUUAUUUGUAUGGGGUGGAGACAAAGGCAUGACUACACCUUGGUGUAAAUGCCAUUCUUUUGACUAAGAGAUAAUAGCCUUCUUUUUUUUUUUUUUUUUUUUUGGUAAUUGCCUUCUUUUAAUAUGCCUUUAAUCCUACUGUAAAGUUACUACUAUUAUUUUCUUUUCUUUUUUUUUUUUUCAAGACAGGGUUUCUCUGUGGCUUUGGAGGCUGUCCUGGAACUAGCUCUUGUAGACCAGGCUGGUCUCGAACUCACAGAGAUCCCCCUGCCUCUGCCUCCCGACUGCUGGGAUUAAAGGCAUGCGCCACCAACGCCCGGCCCCACUACUAUUAUUUCAUUAUGUUUUAUUAGCUAAGUCAUCAAACUAGUGAAGUGCCGAAUUUGGACAGAGUAAUUACUGGUAACAAUAGAUGCAGUUUCGGAAACUAAGCCUGCCAUGCUGUUUUAUAAUGUUGUCUUUGUAAUUUCAAAAAUAGUCUUAAUGUUUUUGGUAUUUCUUCCCAUGAUCAAUCUGUCUUAGUAACAUACAACUACUCUUCCACCUGAGUUAUUUUCCAUGGUACUAUAAUACUGGUUUCCAAAUAGAACUCCUUUUUGAAGGGGGUCAGUCAUUGCUGGAGAACAGUUUGUUUACUUAAUACACUUACUUUUUGUGUGUUUGUGUUGCAUAGGUGUUAGAGGCUAAAUUAGUGGGUCAAUUCUUUUCAGCAUGUGGAUCCUAUGGAUCAAACUUGGCAGCCCGCACAUUUACCUACUGAACAAUCUUAUCAGCUCAGUUUACUUAUUUAACAAAUAUGAAAACCCCCCAACUUAAGAGUUCAGCAUCUCUGUCCAGCCUGGUGCUACAAUUGUCAUGAGCAAGAAAACCUGAUCUCCUGUUUUUGGCUAGAUCACCUCCCACUUUUCCCUUGUUAAGAAACUAGAGAAGGACUCUUUGGCAUAGCUGUAGUUUUCACUCAUCUCUGCGAGGUAAGAACCAAGAGUUGUUCAUUAAAAUGCUAUUGUCUGUUUUUCCCUUUUAAAUUAGUGGAGUUCUAUGUAUUAUGAAUGACAGGGUUUGAGAUUGGACAUGAAAAUAGGUGGUCUAAGAAAACCUUUAACUUUCUCUGUACACAAGAGAGAUUCAAAAAAGAACUUGUGGGCAUUAACCUUAAGGAUGUUAAUGAAAAGAUUUGUAACAGAGAGUCAGCAAUACUUCUCUUGAUAUGGGGAGGAGGAAUGAGCCUGAAUAUAGUAGUGUCCUUUUCUUGUCUUCCAUGUACUCACAUAAAGUUUGUGAUAAUACCAAGAAACAUAAGUUAAUGCUAACUGGAAUGAAUUGUAUUUCUUAUACAAUGAUCAAUUAUGUCGUUUGAAAUCAGGUGCUUAGUCAUACUUUUUUUUAUGACCCUGAAUGCUUCCAUUACACUUACUCAACUACCACCAUCAUCACUUUACAAUUCAGAAGUAAUAAUGGUAGGAUAGAAGAAUAGAACUGAUGCUUCCAAGUUGUCCUUUCCUGCAGGUCGUUGUCGCAUGUGUGCACCUACAUUCACACAUCACAUAGUCAGAUAAAAUGUUAAUAAUAAUUUUAAAAAUAUAGUGCCAUUAUGCUUAAUAGUAAAUGCUUAUUACCUAUGCAUUCAAGUGAUGAAUGAAAAGCAGUGGGGACCUAAAAAGUCUUUUGUUUUGGAAGGGAUAAGUAUAAACGAAGAUACCGAAUACUGGUAACUAAGGAGUUUGUGGUUUGAGGUAUUAAUGCCAUGGAAACAUUAACAUAGGAACAAUAUCCUGGUGGAGCAACUUCCCCGAGGAUUUUUUAACUUUUUGGUCCCAACAUCACAGGUAGACAUAACAGUAUCUCUGAAGAGAAAUUGAGCUCUUAGGGCAUUGGAAGGAGCUUCUUUUUUGAAGAUGUUGGCAGAACUUCCACAUGAGCUACUCUGGAACUAGCAAAUUUUCCAGCUUAGAACUAACAGAGUAUGUCCUUGUAAACUGCCAGUCAGUACCUGUAAGAGGAGGCUUCAACAGGGGUGAACUACUUUAUAGAAGGUUCAAGAGUGUAAAUACAUUUUCCCCUGUCUUUUACAGUGUGGGUAGGAUUUCUAUAUUUAUUUCUCCACUUGUCUGCCUCAGUAAUGUCAAAGUGCCUCUUGUGUGACAUAGACAAGUUUCCCAUUGUUCUUUGCCUUGAAAUAAAUCUCAUAAUGUAGGACAUAGUUUUAAUAUAUCUCUCCUAGGUCUCUCAUAGAUCCUAGCCCUAAGAUGCUUCCAAGUGAAGUUCUUGAAAUUAUACCUAAAAAGCAAUCAGAAUUGUGCCAUAAUAUAUGUAAUUUGACUAAGGCUAAGUAAUCAGUCAUAGUAGGUCAUUUUAUCACAAAUGCAAAUUCGUCCUUAAAGUUUUGGGAUUCCUCGCAGUCACUCCCUAUCUUCUAGGAAUUUGCUAUCUACGCAAGUUCAGAUACAAUUCUGUCUGAUAUGCAGUAUCUCCGCACAUUGGUCAAAUGAUACCUUUACCUCUUGGUCAAAUGAUAAUCUCAAGGCCUUUUUAUCAUAAUCAAAUGAUAAACUCAAGGCUUUUUGUUUGUUUGUUUGUUUUUUCGAGACAGGGUUUCUCUGUAUUGCUUUGGAGCCUAUCCUGGCACUCUCGAUGGAGACCAGGCUGGCCUUGAACUGACAGAGAUCUGCCUGCCUCUGCCUCCUGCAUGCUGGGAUUAAAGGCGUGUGCCACCAAUGCCCGUCAAGGCCUUUUCAUCAUGUUCAAAUGACCAAGUAGACCUUAAUAAUAGCACUAAAAGGUGCAUUCUUGGCUUUUUUAUUGUGUAAGGUGACCUGAGGAUGUAUUGACUCAUUGUCAAGCUUUGGACAUAUGGUAAAAUUGGCUGAGAUCCAACGUUGGUGGACAGUGGUUAUUUCAUGCUUUUAUGUGUAAUGGAUAUGGGGUAUCACUUCCUAUGUGGCUACUUCCUGCUGGUGGAAGGAUUAUCAUAUGAAGUUUUAGGGGCUCUAGAAUCAUAAAGGAAGCCAUGGCCUCCACACAAGCAUACAUGUCCAUAUGUGCAAAAAACACAUACACCAAAGAGAAAACUUUUUUCUCAUUUCUGUUUAUUCAUUAAGUUACUAUAAGAUUUUCUGAUGUAUGACCAACAUGUUUUGUCUAAUUAGUCCAGCAAGUUGUGUAUGUUACCCAGCAUAAAUUUUUGUUUUUAUGUUUUAUGUGGGUUUUUUGUUUAGUUUUGUUUUUAGGACACUUGAUCUAAAACAGGCAUGUUAUUUCUCUGGAGGCUUUCAUUUUGUUUUAUUGUAUUUUCAGACUGUCUCACUUUAUAGUCCACUGUUUCUAGAGAAAUGUGUGAAGUCUCCAAAUUUGUUUUCAAUGGGUUUAUUAGGGGAAACAGACUAAAAAAUAGGAAGUGUUUUUUUGGUUUUUCAAGUCAGGGUUUCUCUGUAUGUUUGUGGCGUGUCCUAGAACUCUGUGUAGACCAGGGUAGCCUCAGACACAGAGAGAUCCUCUGCUUUUGUCUCCCGAGUGUUGGGGUUAAAGGCAUGAGCCACCAUGCCCCGCUAAAUUUGCUACUGAAAAAUAUGAAGUAUAAAAGGCGGGGAAUUGUGGCUCAAUCCUUUAAUCCUAGCACUCAGGAGGCAGAGGCAGGAAUUCAUGGAUAGCGUGGUCUACAGAGAGCAUUCCAGAACAGCCCUGCAGAGAAACCAUAUCUUGGAAUAAUAAAAGCAAACAGCCAAACAAAAAAAUCCAAUUCAAGCCACUAAAAGCAGCCAGCUAGACUUUCCAAUAGAGAGUCCCAGGAAGAGCAUUGUAUCAAAUCGCGUAUUCAAACAAAUGAGAAGUUUGAGACUUAGUUGAGUUCCCACUGAGGUUUCUCUCCAUGCCUAAAUUUCCACUACAGACAACCCCCCCCCCCGACCCGAGACAGGGUGAUUUGGCAGUAGCAUUUCUCUCCUCAUUUUGUGCCAGGAUUGAUGUGGCUGAUGGGCAGGUAUCUUCUUCCUCUCUUACCGCUCUUAUUAUCCCUCCAGAAGCGACGCGGUCGCGCUCAGGCACUACGUGAUCGUGCUCGGUCACUACGUGAUCGCGCUCGGUCACUACGUGAUCGCGCUCGGUCACUACGUGAUCGCGCUCGGUCACUACGUGAUCGCACUCGGUCACUAUGCGGUCGCGCUCGGUCACUAUGCGGUUGCGCUCGGUCAAAGAGGACUACCUUUCCCCGAAUAAAGGAGGAUCGUACCGGUCUUCGGUCAUAGGGGACGACUGUAACACCGGUCUUCUGUUAAGGGUAUCCUGAGUAGCUGCAGCCAUGGCGUUCUUUAUGUGUGUUUGUCCCGCUGGAACCUGCAAACAAGCUUCCAAGGUCCACUGCAUACUGUCUCAUGGGUUAAACACUAUUAGCUGUUUGUAGGGGUAGAAUGAUUUUAGUUUUGUCUUUUAUUGUGCAGAGAAUUAGCGGGAUAGCCCAUCAGUAGGUCUUGUAGUCCACUGUAAAAAGUCUCUUUUUUUUGUCCCUCUAGCCAGCUCCCAAAUAAUGACCUUAUGUUAGGCUUUUUUUUUUUUUUUUCAAUUAUCUCUCGUAAGUUGAAUUAGCGUGUCUGUAGUCUACAUUUUGCCACAUGGCUCGGUUACCUUGGUACUCUACCUAUGUCCAAAUUCUUCACAGUCUUACUGGUGUCUCUUUACUGUCCAUUCUUCUGUGUCUGGCUGGUGAUCCAACCUUUCUUUCAGAGUCUUGUCUGUCCUUGGUGAUCCUACCUAAACUUUAUUAAAUGCAUCAGAAGGCUCCUCGGGAAAGAAACUUCACAAUAUAAAUAAAUAUUCCGAGAUACUUUGAGACAACAUACUUAUUUCUGUAGCAUGGGGGAGGAGGACCACAACCCCUCUUUCCUUGGCCUUUGUGAUCUCAAACAACGCUUGGUAAUUUACUCGUAAAAUGUACCUACCAUCAAGGCUGGGUUAAACUUAAGAUUCUCCUUGGUCAGUUUAACCAGUGCUGGGAAUACAAGAAAGUGGCUACUGAUUUCAUUUACUUCAUCUUGUAUCCUGCCACUUUCCUGAAGGUGUUUAUCAGCUGUAAGAGUUCCCUGGUAGAGUUUUUUGGGUCACUUAUGUAAAUUAUCAUAUCAUCUGCAAAUAGUGAGAGUUUGACUUCUUCCUUUCCUAUGUGUAUCUCCUGGAUUUCCUUUUGUUGUCUUAUUGCUGUAGCUAGGACUUUAAGUAUAGUAUUGAAAAGAUAUGGAAAGAGUCGGCAGCCUUGUCUUAUGCUGAUUUUAGAGGAAUCCUUUGAGUUAUAUUGGCUGUUGGUAUACUGUAUAUUUUUUUUAAAUUCCUUUUAGGUGUGUUCCUAUUAUCCCUGGUCUCUCUAAGACCUUUAUCAUGGGGGGGGGGGAUUCAAAGGCUUUUUCCGAAUCUAGUGAGAGGAUUAUCCUUCUGCUGUCUUUUAAGGAUAGAAAGGCUUCUAUUUCAGCCUGAGAACACUGAGAAGAAAUGGUUUUUAAUGAUAAGUGGCUUUAUUUGGUGCGGAGGUGCUCUUUAAGGGUCUUUCUUACCCUCUCCCUACCUUUGUGUCUUUCUGUCCCCUUCUCCUGAUUCCUCUCAGACUGACUCUUCUCUGUUAGUCCUCUUUGCAAUGUUAAGCUAAACGUAUUUCUAUACAAUUUUAAUUCAAUUAUUGGCAUUUUUUUGGUACCCUGAGUCAAGAAUAUUGAAUAAUUCUCUCCUAUAUCUUCGGUUGUUUUGCUCGUGCACUUGCGGUUUUGAAUUAGGCACAGUUCUUGCCUUCUCUGAGGAUACCAGAAAUCCUGGUAAACCAUGACUAUGCAUUGAACCAUAAAAGGUUAACUCGUUAGUCAUUGGGAGUUUGGGGGUGGGAUAUCUACAGGGACAGUGAGAUGGAUUACUGGAGAGUUUUAGAAGCAUAUAAUAGGUAAGGGUUUUUGUUAAGCAUGGACUUUAUUAUGAAUUGCCAGACAGGGAUGCUUCUGAUGAUUCUUGUGGCAGUGACAAAUAGUCAAAAGCAAAAAUUGUGGGAGUUGAUAAAUAGUGUUAGCUAGAGGCAACUUAUAGGAAAAUUAGAGGAGGGAAGCAAGAAGAAGACUGAUUUUCAGUGCGCUAUUGAAAUAACAGCAUAGCAUAUGUUCCUGGUCACUCUCAUCUUAUCCGCUCUGCUUUCACUGUCAGUGUUUUUGCAGACCUGUAUAUUUGCUCUAAAUGAAAUGUGAAGGAUGUUGAAGGAAUAAAUAUUCUGUUAUUGGAGCCAUUGCUUCACUUAGAUACUUGAAAUGUUCAUUGCUUCACUUUCAAACAACAAAUAUAUACCGUAAUUGGAAAUAUCCUGUGUUGACUUUCUUCUCAAAGCCUGGCAUAUAGUCCUAUUCAUAUAAUCCCAGCAUUGGAGCUGCUUACACAGGAAGAUCAUCUUGAAUAGAGGCCAGCCUGGGUUUCAUAACAGUACCUUGUCUCAAACAAACAAAAACACCAUAAACAUGUUUCUACUAAAGAAUCUUAGUAUUGCCCUUUAGGAUUCAAAUAAUGGCUUUCUGACCAGGGCAAUUAUAUUUGAGUAGAUUGCCUUUUUUAAGAAGGCCUAUAUUAAACACUAACUUGUAGUACUUCAAAGGAACUUACUGGGGAGAAAGCCUAGAGCUGCACAGGAAAACAGUGAUUCUAGGGUUUGGGCCAUGUCAUUAGCUAGCCUAUCCUUAAACUGCUUCCUUAGUUCCUGAUGUAGUUUAUUAUUUUGUUUGUUUGUUUGUUUUCCCCAGUAGUUAGGAUUCAGUAGAAUAUAAGACCAUAUUGAAAUAAUUUUUUCAAGACUGUAGAACAGGGCAGGAAUAUACGUAAAGUGUAUCAGCUAUGGUUACUGUUAAUAAUGGUGUUGACCAUGACAUGGUUUAAAAGAAGAGAGAUAACAAGCAUUAUAGCAGGGAAACUGUUUUUCCAUGACACACUACUGUGGAGGCUCGUCAGAUAUUUUAUUCUGCUAGGACUGUUAGAGAUUAGACUAUUCCUUGACCCAUAUUGAUUAGUAACCUUUGUUCUAAGUUAAAGGUUGUGGAGAAGUUUCAUUACACAUGAAGAAAGGUUUUUGUCACAGCAGAACUGAAAUGUAAUUCUAUUCUACCUGUUUAGUAGCUAUGUUGUUUAAUGCCUCUACCCCACACACCGAACCUUGGUCUUACCAUACCAUGCUUAAUUUUCAGGGUUUCCAUGAAGAGAUAUGUAAAGUAUAUCAAAGGUAUUCUAUAAAGUAAAGCUUUAAUCGUUAGUUCUUGGGACACUCAACGCAUGAGAGAAAGAAACAACAGCACACCUUGGUGCUCAGGAGGACUUCAUGGAUCCAGCAGCAACCUGGAGUGGUGCUCCUCUGAAGAAAUCCUACUCGGAUGGAUAUAAUACAACCUGCUAAGUGUUCUAGCACUUAUCAGGUUGUAUUAUCAUUGUCCGUGUUUAUGGCUCUCGUCUCUCAGACUAAAUUCUUAAGGGCAAGGACUGUGCCUUACUCAUCUUUGCAUUCCCAGUGCCUAAUCCGGUGCACAUUGUAGGCCUCAUUAAAUGUUUGUUGAAUGAAAAAAUGAAUCAUCAACAGAUAUUAAUUGGGCGCCUGCUCUGUCAUCUCCAUGGGCUCAGCUUGUUCCUGCCAGUUGCCUACAGCAUCCAAGGUCUCUUCAAUGUACUUACUUCUGAAGCUUAAGCCUGUCUUCUCAGUUCUAUGUAGUGUGGACCAUUUUAAAAUGACUGAUGUGUUUGUGUUUUAUAAUCUAUGUUGAGGGUGUAAAAGGGAGUACCUUAAAUGUUGUAUUUGAUAAUGUGUUUUCUAUGUAAUAUUGCACUUAUAUUUCUGUGUUUUGCAAUUGCCUGUUUUUAGAUGUUGCACGGUUGCUGUUGUUACUAUAAUUGCUACCAUUUACUCCCUAGGUUGGACCACAGUGAUCUUUGAUUAAAAGUUUCAUCAUUUCAAUCUGGGGUCUGCUGUUAUGAUGUGUUUCAGCAAUUUCUCUUCCUCACACUGCUCAGAACUGGAUGUGUGAAAAGCUGCAUUGUGAAUAAAAACUCAGUGUGUGUUGGGAGUAGAGUCCUUGUUGCUAUCUGGAUGUAACAACAGCAGUGACACACAAAGCCAAUGCAGAGGAAGGUGUUGCUCAUCAAUGGGUCCAGUACCUGAGGAACAAGAGAACCAACAGGAAGUGGACAGCAGUGUGACCUUUUGAGAGAAGACUUGAGCAAAAAGAUUCUAGGGAAAAAUGAAACCCAAGCCCAUGUUUUUAUUUCAAGAAGUGCUGAACCUGAGUGAAUUUGAAUUUCUGCCAAGCAGCU